UUAAGCGACUAAGCGUACACGGUGGAUGCCCUGGCAGUCAGAGGCGAUGAAGGACGUGCUAAUCUGCGAAAAGCGCCGGCGAGGUGAUAUGAACCUUUGACCCGGCGAUGUCCGAAUGGGGAAACCCAGUGUGUUCCGACACACUAUCGUUAACUGAAUACAUAGGUUAACGAGGCGAACCGGGGGAACUGAAACAUCUAAGUACCCCGAGGAAAAGAAAUCAACCGAGAUUCCCCCAGUAGCGGCGAGCGAACGGGGAGCAGCCCAGAGUCUGAAUCAGCUUGUGUGUUAGUGGAAGCGUCUGGAAAGUCGCACGGUACAGGGUGACAGUCCCGUACACGAAAAUGCACAGGUUGUGAACUCGAAGAGUAGGGCGGGACACGUGGUAUCCUGUCUGAAUAUGGGGGGACCAUCCUCCAAGGCUAAAUACUCCUGACUGACCGAUAGUGAACCAGUACCGUGAGGGAAAGGCGAAAAGAACCCCGGCGAGGGGAGUGAAAAAGAACCUGAAACCGUGUACGUACAAGCAGUGGGAGCACCUUCGUGGUGUGACUGCGUACCUUUUGUAUAAUGGGUCAGCGACUUAUAUUCUGUAGCAAGGUUAACCGUAUAGGGGAGCCGAAGGGAAACCGAGUCUUAACUGGGCGUUAAGUUGCAGGGUAUAGACCCGAAACCCGGUGAUCUAGCCAUGGGCAGGUUGAAGGUUGGGUAACACUAACUGGAGGACCGAACCGACUAAUGUUGAAAAAUUAGCGGAUGACUUGUGGCUGGGGGUGAAAGGCCAAUCAAACCGGGAGAUAGCUGGUUCUCCCCGAAAGCUAUUUAGGUAGCGCCUCGUGAACUCAUCUUCGGGGGUAGAGCACUGUUUCGGCUAGGGGGCCAUCCCGGCUUACCAACCCGAUGCAAACUACGAAUACCGAAGAAUGUUAUCACGGGAGACACACGGCGGGUGCUAACGUCCGUCGUGAAGAGGGAAACAACCCAGACCGCCAGCUAAGGUCCCAAAGUCAUGGUUAAGUGGGAAACGAUGUGGGAAGGCACAGACAGCCAGGAUGUUGGCUUAGAAGCAGCCAUCAUUUAAAGAAAGCGUAAUAGCUCACUGGUCGAGUCGGCCUGCGCGGAAGAUGUAACGGGGCUAAACCAUGCACCGAAGCUGCGGCAGCGACACUAUGUGUUGUUGGGUAGGGGAGCGUUCUGUAAGCCGUUGAAGGUGUGCUGUGAGGCAUGCUGGAGGUAUCAGAAGUGCGAAUGCUGACAUAAGUAACGAUAAAGCGGGUGAAAAGCCCGCUCGCCGGAAGACCAAGGGUUCCUGUCCAACGUUAAUCGGGGCAGGGUGAGUCGACCCCUAAGGCGAGGCCGAAAGGCGUAGUCGAUGGGAAACAGGUUAAUAUUCCUGUACUUGGUGUUACUGCGAAGGGGGGACGGAGAAGGCUAUGUUAGCCGGGCGACGGUUGUCCCGGUUUAAGCAUGUAGGCGGAGGUUCCAGGUAAAUCCGGUACCUUUUAACGCUGAGGUGUGAUGACGAGGCACUACGGUGCUGAAGUAACAAAUGCCCUGCUUCCAGGAAAAGCCUCUAAGCAUCAGGUAACAUCAAAUCGUACCCCAAACCGACACAGGUGGUCAGGUAGAGAAUACCAAGGCGCUUGAGAGAACUCGGGUGAAGGAACUAGGCAAAAUGGUGCCGUAACUUCGGGAGAAGGCACGCUGAUAUGUAGGUGAAGCCCCUGCGGGUGGAGCUGAAAUCAGUCGAAGAUACCAGCUGGCUGCAACUGUUUAUUAAAAACACAGCACUGUGCAAACACGAAAGUGGACGUAUACGGUGUGACGCCUGCCCGGUGCCGGAAGGUUAAUUGAUGGGGUUAGCGGUAACGCGAAGCUCUUGAUCGAAGCCCCGGUAAACGGCGGCCGUAACUAUAACGGUCCUAAGGUAGCGAAAUUCCUUGUCGGGUAAGUUCCGACCUGCACGAAUGGCGUAAUGAUGGCCAGGCUGUCUCCACCCGAGACUCAGUGAAAUUGAACUCGCUGUGAAGAUGCAGUGUACCCGCGGCAAGACGGAAAGACCCCGUGAACCUUUACUAUAGCUUGACACUGAACACUGGUCCUUGAUGUGUAGGAUAGGUGGGAGGCUUUGAAGCGUGGACGCCAGUCUGCGUGGAGCCGUCCUUGAAAUACCACCCUUUAAUGGCUGGUGUUCUAACGUAGACCCGUGAUCCGGGUUGCGGACAGUGUCUGGUGGGUAGUUUGACUGGGGCGGUCUCCUCCCAAAGAGUAACGGAGGAGCACGAAGGUUAGCUAAUCCUGGUCGGACAUCAGGAGGUUAGUGCAAUGGCAUAAGCUAGCUUGACUGCGAGAGUGACGGCUCGAGCAGGUGCGAAAGCAGGUCAUAGUGAUCCGGUGGUUCUGAAUGGAAGGGCCAUCGCUCAACGGAUAAAAGGUACUCCGGGGAUAACAGGCUGAUACCGCCCAAGAGUUCAUAUCGACGGCGGUGUUUGGCACCUCGAUGUCGGCUCAUCACAUCCUGGGGCUGAAGUAGGUCCCAAGGGUAUGGCUGUUCGCCAUUUAAAGUGGUACGCGAGCUGGGUUUAGAACGUCGUGAGACAGUUCGGUCCCUAUCUGCCGUGGGCGCUGGAGAAUUGAGGGGGGCUGCUCCUAGUACGAGAGGACCGGAGUGGACGCAUCACUGGUGUUCGGGUUGUCAUGCCAAUGGCACUGCCCGGUAGCUAAAUGCGGAAAAGAUAAGUGCUGAAAGCAUCUAAGCACGAAACUUGCCCCGAGAUGAGUUCUCCCUGAGACUUUAAGUCUCCUGAAGGAACGUUGAAGACGACGACGUUGAUAGGUCGGGUGUGUAAGCGCAGCGAUGCGUUGAGCUAACCGAUACUAAUGAACCGUGAGGCUUAACCUU
rnacentral:rRNA from 1 species